UGGGGGGCCUGGAGAGUCUCUGCCAAACCCGCUGGUGACUCCCGGCCUGAGCCAGCCUUGCUGGGCCCAUCACUCACCUGCCACCCACACCACACACCUGGGCCCCUCUCCCCACCCCCUGGCUGCAAACCAGGGGUCCCAGGAAGGGAUGGGGCCCUCAGGAGGCCAGGCCAGGGCUUCUUAACAGGGUGGUGUGAUUUUGGGAGCAGGUUCCUCUGUACCCUGACACCCCUGGAGCCCCCGUGGUCGCCGCCUCUACCUGAACUGAUGUCAGAAUCAACAUCUCCCUUUCUCAACUUGUCUUUCUCUCCCUCUGGAAUUUCCUGUGAGGCUUAGAGGGACGUGGAAACCCUCCUUGGGUCCCACAAGGACAGAGGCCCAGCCACCUGGCCAAUGCUAGGGGACCCUGGCCUGCCCCCUCUGGAACCGCAGCACCACCCCAAACCUCCAUUGCCUCCCGGUAUGCCCCGGAUCUCACGUGUGGUUCAUGGCACACCCAGCCCAGCCCGUGGGGCCUUCUCCCUCCUGAGUGGCAGCUGCCCUUGGCUCCCAGCCCUGGGCCCCAAGGGAAGAGAAAUUUCCAGCAGGCUGGCAGCUCUAUCACCAGCCCAGCCCAGGCUGAGGGAGGAACUGGGGGGUCCAAUGAGGGCAGAGACCCCAGUGAGGAGGUCCUCGUGAUUCCCCACUCUGGGCUCUGGGCUCAGCUCUUUGGCAGGGAGAUUCCAUCCAGCACUAGCCUGGUGAGCCCUGCUCAGAGAGGGCCAGGAAAUCUCUCAGGUCACACAGCAAUUUCCGUAUAAGACACACAGUUUCUGGCAAUGGGCUGCAGCUCCUCUUCCAGAUCUCAGUGGUCGGAGACUGGUCCAGCUGUGGAUCUGAGAGCCAAGGGGCCUGGGUUGCAAUCCCAAACCCCACUUCCAGCCCUCCUGACUCCUGGCUGCGUGAAAAAGGUGGACUGGGGUUGGAUGUUACAGGAGGAGGGAACCAGUUCAAAGGACACAAGAAGGGAUUCACGGUGAGGGCCAAUUAGAUGUGGGCCAUGAGCUGCCAGGGCAGAUCUUGGGGACAGGGCAGGAGCUCCGUGGGCGACAGUGCCAGUGCGGUAAUGACCACAUUUGAGUGGGGUUGGGUGACCUCACCAGGAAUCUGUCUUCUGCCGUGUUGUGUCAAAAGGAGCAUGUGGCCGGGCACAGUGGCUCACACCUGCAAUCCCAGCACUUUGGAAGGCUGAGGUGGGUGGAUCACUUGAGGUCAGGAGUUCAAGACCAGCCUGGCCAACAUGGAGAAACUCCAUCUCUACUAAAAAUACAAAAAUUAGCCAGACAUGAUGGCAUGUGCCUGUAGUCCCAGCUCGUUGGGAGGCUGAGGCAGGAGGAUCACUUGAACCCGAGAGGCAGAGAUUGCAGUGAGCCGAGAUUGGGCCACUGCACUCCAGCCUGGGAGACAGUGCGAGACUCCGUCUCAAAAAAAAAAAAGCAGGAAAGAAAGAAAAAAAGCAUGGCAUUCAUUUCCAGUCCCUGUGGAGGGACAGGGCAUGCAGCGGAGGGCAGGUGUGGCCAGAUUGACCAGGAUUCCGUAAUGACCCAAUAAAGCAUUUAUCAAC
ensembl:lncRNA